rnacentral:lncRNA from 1 species
GCGACCUUACCCGGUAUAUAAUUGGUGUCAUGCAUUUGUCUGAAGACUUCAGUUCCAGUUGGUGGAACAGGGGCAGAUCGCAACUCUAUGGUACAGUCAAAUAAGUCUUUCUGAAAUCGAAAUGGAUGGUUUGCUUCCAACCACCGACGAUGGCCCAUAUAAUAGAACUUUCCUCCAUGUUUUAACCAAUACGAAUGGGUUGAAUCUCCACAAGAAGGACAUGCAAUACGCCCCUUAGUGCUCCAACCAGAUAAAUUAGCAUAUGCAGGAAAAUCAUUGAUAGUCCAAAUAAGAGCUGCACGCAAUUUAAAAUUUUGUCCAGCAAAAACAUCAAAUGCAUCAAUACCCUCCCAUAUUUGUUUCAAUUCCUCUAUUAAAGGUUAUAGAAAAACAUCAAUAUCAUUACCUGGGCCCUUGUCACCUGGAAUAACCAUUGAUAGAAUUACUGAAGACUGUUUCAUACACAUCC